rnacentral:misc_RNA from 1 species
UGCGGAGGGAUCAUUACAGAGUUACAAACUCCAAACCUUUGUGAACAUACCUACGUUGCUUCGGCGGCCUCGCCCCGGGCGUCGCGGUGCCCUAACGGGAGCCGCGGCGGCCGGACCCAGGCGACCGCCGGGGGACCCAAACUCUUGUUUUUUUCAGUGUAUUCUGAGUGGCAUAAGCAAAUAAUCAAAACUUUCAGCAACGGAUCUCUUGGUUCUGGCAUCGAUGAAGAACGCAGCGAAAUGCGAUAAGUAAUGUGAAUUGCAGAAUUCAGUGAAUCAUCGAAUCUUUGAACGCACAUUGCGCCCGCCAGUACUCUGGCGGGCAUGCCUGUCCGAGCGUCAUUUCAACCCUCAGCACCCGCCUUCGCGGCGGGAGCUGGCGUUGGGGAUCGGCCGCCCUCAGCGGCGGCCGGCCCCGAAACGAAGUGGCGGCCGCGUCGCGACCUCCUCUGCGCAGUAGCGAUACCUCGCAGCCUGGAUAGCGGUGCGGCCACGCCGUAAAACCCCAACUUACCAAGGUUGACCU